ACGAACGCUGGCGGCUGCUUAACACAUGCAAGUCGAACGGAGUGGCGAACGGGUGAGUAACGCGUGAGCAACCUGCCUAUGACAGUGGGAUAGCCUCGGGAAACCGGGAUUAAUACCGCAUAGUCAUAGAUGGGCUCGCGUCUGAUUAGCUAGUUGGUGAGAUAACAGCCCACCAAGGCGACGAUCAGUAGCCGGUCAGAGAGGAAGAGCGGCAACAUUUGAACUGGGACACGGUCCAAACUCCUACGGUAGGCAGCAGUGGGGAAUAUUGCAAAAUGGGGGAAACCCGGUUGCAGCGACGCCUCGUGAACGAAGAAGGUAUUCGUAUCGUAAAGUUCUGUCCUAUGGGAAGCAGUACCAUAGAAGAAAGCUCCGGCUAAAUACGUGCCAGCAGCCGCGGUAAUUC
rnacentral:rRNA from 1 species